rnacentral:lncRNA from 1 species
UAAUAUAACAUCUUACACAAAUAGGACCAAUACGGCCAAGUCUUACAUGAUGAGAGCCACGAAGGUUGAACAUCAAGUAAAGAACUUGCAACAAAAAUCUUCAAUGAUAACUUGCACCCAUGCCAUGUGCCUCAACCCUAUAGGCAUUGUAACUGUGAAGCAUCGUAAUUCGCAUGUUCGUUACAAAAGAACUCUUCCUCAAAUUCCCAUUCUUCCAUGCGUGUCCAAAUAAAUUGCUAGGGACAAGCCAACGAGUACGUUUAAUGUACUCGCAAGCAACGCAUGAUUGGAAACAAAAUAAACAUGCAUGGUUUAACCCUAAGUUGGUA